AUUGAACGCUGGCGGCAUGCCUUACACAUGCAAGUCGAACGGUAACAGGUCUUCGGAUGCUGACGAGUGGCGAACGGGUGAGUAAUACAUCGGAACGCGCCUAGUAGUGGGGGAUAACUACUCGAAAGAGUGGCUAUACCGCAUGAGAUCUACGGAUGAAAGCAGGGGAUCGCAAGACCUUGUGCUACUAGAGCGGCCGAUGGCAGAUUAGGUAGUUGGUGGGAUAAAAGCUUACCAAGCCGACGAUCUGUAGCUGGUCUGAGAGGACGAUCGGCCACACUGGGACUGAGAAACGGCCCAGACUCCUACGGGAGGCAGCAGUGGGGAAUUUUGGACAAUGGGCGCAAGCCUGAUCCAGCAAUGCCGCGUGCAGGAUGAAGGCCUUCGGGUUGUAAACUGCUUUUGUACGGAACGAAAAGCCCCGGGUUAAUACCCUGGGGUCAUGACGGUACCGUAAGAAUAAGCACCGGCUAACUACGUGCCAGCCGCCGCCGUAA
rnacentral:rRNA from 1 species